AUGGUACUCUUCAAAUGUCGUUGGUUUGAUCCUAUCAAAGGUGUGAAGCCAAAUGCAAAAUUAGGUUUGGUGGAGAUCCAGUGGUCUUCAAGGCUUCGUAAUUUUGAACCAUUUGCCAUGGCUCACCAAGCUACACAAUCUUAUUACUUGAAGUAUGCAUCCUCGAGGAGAGAUCUUCGUGAUUGGAGGGUUGUGUACACGAUUCAGCCAAGCAGCAGCUUGAGUAACCUUGAUGACUGCGCAAAUGACCCAUCUACUACAGAUGAAUAUUUCCAAGAAGUUAGUCAGCUGGGUAGUUUUUCUGUAGAUGUUGGCAAAUUAUUUGAUGAGUUUGCUAAGCCAAGAAAGGAGUCAGAUGAUGUGAUGCUUGAUCCCUCUGAAAUUGAAAGAAUAGAAAAUCAAGACUUUAAUGAUGAGGGAGAAGAAUCUUCAGAAGAUGAUUUGGAAGAGAGUACCGAUGAGGAAGAAGAUUUACCACAAGAGGAAGGAGAAGAAGAGACAUAUGAGACCGAAGAUGAGGAUGAUGCAAUAGAGCAUGACUCGGAAUAUGACAAUGAGGAUUACUAA
rnacentral:rRNA from 1 species